CUCUGAUGGCACAAUGCCUCUAACCUCUGCUGGCGCACUACCUCUAUCUCCUAACCACGCUCCCAUCAUCUGCAAGCGGUCUCAGUUCUCCGCAGAUGCUCUUGUCCUCUGCAGACGCUCCACAUCUAUCCUCAGACAGCGCACUACAUCUGACCUCUGCUGGCGCACUACCUCUAUCUUCUGACAAUACUCCCAACAUCUGCAGGCACUCCUUGACCUCCGCAGAUGCUCUUGUCCUCUGCAGACGCUCCAACUCGAUCCUCGGAUGAUGCACUACAUCUAACCUCUGCCAGCGCACUAACUCUGUCUUCUGAUGGUGCUCCUGUCCUUGGCAAUUGCUUCCUGUUCUCCGCAGGUGCUCCUAUCCUCCGCAGAUGCUCCACCUCUAUCCUCUGAAGGCACACUACAUCUAACCUCUGCCGGCGCACUAACUAUGCCUUCUGACAGCGCUCCCGUCCUCCGCACGUGCUCCCUGUUCUCCUCCGGUGCUCCGAUCCUCCGCAGACACUCCACCUCAAUCCUCUGAUGGCACAUUACCUCUAACCUCUGCCGGCGCACUACCUCUAUCUUCUAACCACGCUCCCAUCAUC
rnacentral:lncRNA from 1 species